rnacentral:rRNA from 1 species
AGAGUUUGAUCAUGGCUCAGAUUGAACGCUGGCGGCAGGCCUAACACAUGCAAGUCGAACGGUAACAGGAAGCAGCUUGCUGCUUUGCUGACGAGUGGCGGACGGGUGAGUAAUGUCUGGGAAACUGCCUGAUGGAGGGGGAUAACUACUGGAAACGGUGGCUAAUACCGCAUAACGUCGCAAGACCAAAGAGGGGGACCUUCGGGCCUCUUGCCAUCAGAUGUGCCCAGAUGGGAUUAGCUUGUUGGUGGGGUAACGGCUCACCAAGGCGACGAUCCCUAGCUGGUCUGAGAGGAUGACCAGCCACACUGGAACUGAGACACGGUCCAGACUCCUACGGGAGGCAGCAGUGGGGAAUAUUGCACAAUGGGCGCAAGCCUGAUGCAGCCAUGCCGCGUGUAUGAAGAAGGCCUUCGGGUUGUAAAGUACUUUCAGCGGGGAGGAAGGUGUUGUGGUUAAUAACCGCAGCAAUUGACGUUACCCGCAGAAGAAGCACCGGCUAACUCCGUGCCAGCAGCCGCGGUAAUACGGAGGGUGCAAGCGUUAAUCGGAAUUACUGGGCGUAAAGCGCACGCAGGCGGUCUGUCAAGUCGGAUGUGAAAUCCCCGGGCUCAACCUGGGAACUGCAUUCGAAACUGGCAGGCUUGAGUCUUGUAGAGGGGGGUAGAAUUCCAGGUGUAGCGGUGAAAUGCGUAGAGAUCUGGAGGAAUACCGGUGGCGAAGGCGGCCCCCUGGACAAAGACUGACGCUCAGGUGCGAAAGCGUGGGGAGCAAACAGGAUUAGAUACCCUGGUAGUCCACGCCGUAAACGAUGUCUACUUGGAGGCUGUGCCCUUGAGGCGUGGCUUCCGGAGCUAACGCGUUAAGUAGACCGCCUGGGGAGUACGGCCGCAAGGUUAAAACUCAAAUGAAUUGACGGGGGCCCGCACAAGCGGUGGAGCAUGUGGUUUAAUUCGAUGCAACGCGAAGAACCUUACCUGGUCUUGACAUCCACGGAAGGUCUCAGAGAUGAGACUGUGCCUUCGGGAACCGUGAGACAGGUGCUGCAUGGCUGUCGUCAGCUCGUGUUGUGAAAUGUUGGGUUAAGUCCCGCAACGAGCGCAACCCUUAUCCUUUGUUGCCAGCGGUUAGGCCGGGAACUCAAAGGAGACUGCCAGUGAUAAACUGGAGGAAGGUGGGGAUGACGUCAAGUCAUCAUGGCCCUUACGACCAGGGCUACACACGUGCUACAAUGGCGCAUACAAAGAGAAGCGACCUCGCGAGAGCAAGCGGACCUCAUAAAGUGCGUCGUAGUCCGGAUUGGAGUCUGCAACUCGACUCCAUGAAGUCGGAAUCGCUAGUAAUCGUGGAUCAGAAUGCCACGGUGAAUACGUUCCCGGGCCUUGUACACACCGCCCGUCACACCAUGGGAGUGGGUUGCAAAAGAAGUAGGUAGCUUAACCUUCGGGAGGGCGCUUACCACUUUGUGAUUCAUGACUGGGGUGAAGUCGUAACAAGGUAACCGUAGGGGAACCUGCGGUUG